GACCUCCUUUGCCUAAGGGCAUUUCAGUCCAUUCUCAGCGCAGUUAACGACCGUUAGCACAAAAUAGGGACGGAAUGGCAUGGAGGGACAAACCAAGAUGCACUUGGUCAUACAGGUGUCGACGAACUUUUUAGGGGUAUGGAGGUUCGACCAACUUUCAUAAUGGCACACAGGUAAAACCCUCCCAAUUCCUCGGUCACGGCGGUCGGCGGGGAGUCGGGGACAGAGUAGACGACCUUCGGCCAACCGGCUCUGGUGUGCAAGUGGGCCGCUAUGAUGGGCAGGCCAUUCGACUGUACAAGGC
rnacentral:lncRNA from 1 species